rnacentral:rRNA from 1 species
GACGAACGCUGGCGGCGUGCUUAACACAUGCAAGUCGUACGGUAAGGCCCUUUCGGGGGUCCCCGAGUGGCGAACGGGUGAGUAACACGUGAGUAACCUGCCCACAACUUUGGGAUAACGCUAGGAAACUGGUGCUAAUACCGGAUAUGUCCUCCUGCUGCAUGGUGGGGGUUGGAAAGCUCCGGGGGGUGUGGACGGACUGGCGGCCCAUCAGCUUGUUGGUGGGGUAGUGGCCUACCAAGGCGGCGACGCGUCGCCGGCCGGUGAGGGUGACCGGCCGCGGUGGGACUGAGAUACGGCCCAGACGCCUACUGGUGGCAGCAGUGGGGAAUAUUGCACAAUGGGCGCGAGCCUGAUGCAGCAACGCCGCGUGCGGGAUGACGGUCUUCGGGUGGGAAACCGCGUUCAGCAGGGACGAAGCUUUUUGUGACGGUACCUGCAGAAGAAGCACCGGCUAACUACGUG